GAAUUUUUAACAGAAAAUUGUCGCAUAUUUCUGUGGGGGUAAUUUUGUUGUCUUAUGUUUCAGGGUAUCCUUAAAGAAGGGUUAAACUGCGUUUCACGAACUGGCUAAUUAAGGGAGUGCAAUGGCGAUAUUUAAAAUGGAAAUCCUUCUAAACCUUUCAUUUUAUAACUCAGUUAUAAUGAAGAGUGGAUCGCUAUCAAAUAGUAAGAAAACAACACAAAAUGAAUCCAAGAUCACAUAGAAUAUCAUUCAGAAGAAAUGCAAAACAGAUAACUCAUCGGUUUCGGUUCUUUUGUUAUGGAAGUGAAUAAUAUACCGAAUUAAAAUGGCUGAUUCGAAAACAUCCAAUAAAGACGUGAAUGGGCAACUCGAAAUCGACCACUGAUGAAGAAGAUAUUUCCAGUUUCUAACAGAAAAAUUGAUUUAUUUUUCUAAAGCGUUGAUUGCUGUACACCGCUAUUUAAUAUGAC